rnacentral:rRNA from 1 species
CCUACGGGAGGCUACAGUGAGGAAUAUUGGUCAAUGGACGAGAGUCUGAACCAGCCAAGUAGCGUGAAGGAUGACUGCCCCAUGGGUUGUAAACUUCUUUUAUAUGGGAAUAAAAUGUUCCACGUGUGGGAUUUUGUAUGUACCAUAUGAAUAAGGAUCGGCUAACUCCGUGCCAGCAGCCGCGGUAAUACGGAGGAUCCGAGCGUUAUCCGGAUUUAUUGGGUUUAAAGGGAGCGUAGGUGGAUUGUUAAGUCAGUUGUGAAAGUUUGCGGCUCAACCGUAAAAUUGCAGUUGAAACUGGCAGUCUUGAGUACAGUAGAGGUGGGCGGAAUUCGUGGUGUAGCGGUGAAAUGCUUAGAUAUCACGAAGAACUCCGAUUGCGAAGGUAGUUCACUGGACUGCAACUGACACUGAGGCUCGAAAGUGUGGGUAUCAAACAGGAUUAGAUACCCCUGUAGUC